CUAAGAAUCUUGCGCAAUGGGCGAAAGCCUGACGCAGCAAUUCCGCGUGGGGGACGAAGGCCCUCGGGUCGUAAACCCCUUUUGUGAGGGAAGAAGUUCUGACGGUACCUCACGAAUAAGACACGGCUAACUACGUGCCAGCAGCCGCGGUAAUACGUAGGUGUCGAGCGUUGUCCGGAUUUAUUGGGCGUAAAGAGCCCGCAGGCGGCUUGGUAAGUUCGAGGUGAAAUCUCCCGGCUCAACUGGGAGGGUGCCUCGAAAACUAUCAGGCUUGAGGCAGGGAGAGGGAUGUGGAAUUCCCGGUGUAGUGGUGAAAUGCGUAGAUAUCGGGAGGAACACCAGUGGCGAAGGCGGCAUCCUGGCCCUGUCCUGGCGCUCAGGGGCGAAAGCGUGGGGAGCAAACC
rnacentral:rRNA from 1 species